UGGGGUGUAGCCAAGCUGGUAAGGCAACGGACUCUGACUCCGUCAUGCCUAGGUUCGAGUCCUAGCACCCCAG
rnacentral:tRNA from 1 species